CCGAGGCCUGUGGGCUCUGAGCGGGAGCACAGAGGGCUCUGUGAGGUCAGGGGCUCCAGUGGGCGCUCACCACACGGCCACCAGUGCGUGCACAGGACAUCUGCUGGACGGAUGGUGCAGGACGUGCAUUUUGCCCAUUUUAACUGUGUCUUCUUUGAGCUCCAUUCAGCUCAGCGUCCAGCCCAGUGUCCAUCAAAGCAAGAGCACAUUCUUCAACAAUUUCUAAGCAUAGAGUUCUCUUUUCCUUUGAAUUGAAUGGCUCUUGGUGACCAGACCUAUUUGAUAUGUAAUGUGACGGGCGUCCUUAUAAGAGGAGAUCAGGACACAGACAUGCACAGAGGGAUGACCACGUGAAGACACAGGGAGAAGACGGCUCCCUGCACGCCCAGGAGAGAUGCCUCAGGAGGGAGCAGCCCUGACCGCCCCUUAAUCUUGGAUUUCCAGCCUCAAGAACCAAGGGACAAUCAAUAUCUGUUGUUUAAGCUGCCCCGUCUGUGGUGUUUGUUACACAGCCUGAGCUCACUGACAUGCUAUUCUUUUGGGUUGCUGUCCUCUGGUAUGAAGUUCUUGCGUUGGGAGAGCUAUUGUCGGUUGUGUCUACCGGGCCCUGCUCAGAGCACGUCGCGUUCCUCUGCGUCU
rnacentral:lncRNA from 1 species